rnacentral:snoRNA from 1 species
UUUUGGCAGGAGGGAUGAAUCAAUUAGAUGUGCGAAGUAUAGCUUAUGAGCUAAACCUUUGAGGCAUAUUAAAAUUUCUGACCUGCCAAUU